GCAUAACGCGAAGAACCUUACCAGGGCUUGACAUCCAACGAACCCGCAAGAGAUUGCGGGGUGCCGUAAGGAGCGUUGAGACAGGUGGUGCAUGGUUGUCGUCAGCUCGUGUCGUGAGAUGUUGGGUUAAGUCCCGCAACGAGCGCAACCCUUACUGUUAGUUGCUAACAUUCAGUUGAGCACUCUAGCAGGACUGCCGGUGACAAAUCGGAGGAAGGUGGGGACGACGUCAAAUCAUCAUGCCCCUUAUGUCCUGGGCUACACACGUACUACAAUGGUGAGAACAAGGGGAAGCAAAGCAGCGAUGCGGAGCAAAUCGCUAAAUCUCAUCUCAGUUCAGAUUGCAGGCUGCAACUCGCCUGCAUGAAGUCGGAAUUGCUAGUAAUCGCGGAUCAGCAUGCCGCGGUGAAUACGUUCCCGGGUCUUGUACACACCGAGUCGGUGGGGGAGGGCGAAGGGCACGACGAGGGGGGAUA
rnacentral:rRNA from 1 species